AUUGAACGCUGGCGGCAGGCCUAACACAUGCAAGUCGAGCGGAGCGGCGGACGGGUGGGUAAGGACUAGGAAUCUGCCCGGCCGUGGGGGAUAAGGUCAGGUAACGGGCGCUAAUACCGCAUACUACCAGAUGAGACUAGGUCGGAUUAGCUAGUUGGUGGGGUAAAGGCCUACAAAGGCGACGAUCCGUAACUGGUCUGAGAGGAUGAUCAGUCACACUGGAACUGAGACACGGUCCAGACUCCUACGGGAGGCAGCAGUGGGGAAUAUUGGACAAUGGGCGAAAGCCUGAUCCAGCCAUGCCGCGUGUGUGAAGAAGGUCUUCGGAUUGUAAAGCACUUUAAGUUGGGAGGCGUUACCAACAGAAUAAGCACCGGCUAACUUCGUGCCAGCAGCCGCGGUAAUUC
rnacentral:rRNA from 1 species